AACGUAGGUGGCGAGCGUUAUCCGGAAUUACUGGGCGUAAAGCGUGUGCAGGCGGGGGGGUAAGUGGUGUAUGAAAUGUCCCGGCUCAACCGGGAGGGGUUAUGCCAGACUGCAUCUCUUGAGUGCGAGAGAGGAGCGUGGAAUUCCGGGUGUAGUGGUGAAAUGCGUAGAGAUCCGGAGGAACCCCAGAGGCGAAGGCGGCGCUCUGGCUCGCAACUGACGCUCAGACACGACAGCAUGGGGAGCGAACGGG
rnacentral:rRNA from 1 species